UGGGUUUGUAAGUCAGUGGUGAAAUCCCCGGGCUUAACCUGGGAACUGCAUUUGGGACUGCAAGGCUGGAGUACGGCAGAGGGAGGUGGAAUUCCACGUGUAGCAGUUAAAUGCGUAGAGAUGUGGAGGAACACCAAUUGCGAAGGCAGCUCACUACACGAAUAUUGACUCUGAGGCACGAAAGCGUGGGGAUCAAACAGGAUUAGAUACCCUGGUAGUCCACGCCCUAAACUAUGGAUACUCGACAUACGCGAUACACAGUGUGUGUCUGAGCGAAAGCAUUAAGUAUCCCACCUGGGAAGUACGACCGCAAGUUUGAAACUCAAAGGAAUUGACGGGGACCCGCACAGGCGGUGGAGCAUGUGGUUUAAUUCGAUGCAACGCGAAGAACCUUACCAGGGCUUGACAUGCUUCUGCAAGCCGCCGAAAAGUGGUCGCCUUCGAGGGUGGAGCACAGGUGGUGCAUGGCUGUCGUCAGCUCGUGUUGUGAAAUGUUGGGUUAAGUCCCGCAACGAGCGCAACCCUCAUGUUCUGUUACCAGCGGAUAAUGCCGGGGACUCGGAACAAACUGCCUCUGUAAAGAGGAGGAAGGUGGGGAUGACGUCAAGUCAUCAUGCCCCUUACGCCCUGGGCUGCACACAUGCUACAAUGGCCGGCACAAAGAGCUGCGAACCCGCGAGGGCAAGCUAAUCUCAAAAAACCGGUCUCAGUUCGGAUUGGAGUCUGCAACUCGACUCCAUGAAGUCGGAAUCGCUAGUAAC
rnacentral:rRNA from 1 species